rnacentral:lncRNA from 1 species
UAAAAGAAACUUUUUCUACGGAUGUUCGUUGAAUUUCAUAAAACCAUUACUGAACUGAUUCCAUUUUGGUUCAAUAAAGCAUGUAAAACUGAAUUCAAGAAAAAAACUUAACAUGUACAAACUAAUCCAUUUCAAUCACAGCAAAGUAAUUAAUAGUGAAACGGUCAUUCACUUAAGCUAAACUCACUAGAAAACAAGCAUUAUGAGAUAGAGCAUUCGCCACACCAAAUCAUGUUCUAGAUUUAAUAAUAAAAUCAAACAUUAAACAAACCAAAUCAUAUUUUUAUUGCAUGAUCAAACAGAAGAAAUUAAGUUUGAACCAACUGACCGGAUCAGGACCAACGGCGACAACCUCAAAACGUCAAUAACUGGCUCCGAGCAGAUCUCACAAUGAGUUCCAAAAUGGACUCAAACUAACAAAACUUCAGCAGCAGAAAAUGAGGCUCACGACCACCCAGAGAUUAAACUGCAGAAAAGGAGGAAACGAGGGAUCGAGAGAAGGAACGCCGAUUUCGAUCGGAACCUAAGAGGCCGUGAAGUAUGAAAGUUGUGAGAUUGCAAGGCUUUUCCGUCGAAGAACAGAUCUGAAGGUUUCAAAAGAGGCACCAGAUCUAAAAGUUUCACCACUGUUAAUCCCCACUUCAGGCGAGACUUACCAUUCCCGACAUGAUUCUGUUAUCUUAUGUACAAAUCUGUGAAAAUAAGAAAAGGAAGAAAGUGAGAGGAAGCGAGGUCAUGGGUGGACGACCAGAGGGAAAGCGUGAGGAGUUCCACCGACGUUCAUGGCAGGUAAAGAAGAAACGACGAUGUGGGAGGGUUGCCGAUCCUGUUGCUGGGGUCUAGCGGUUGUGUUCUUGUGUGGGAGGGUUGGUCGUUAGUGAGCUCUGUUGCUAAUGGCUGCUUAGGGUGUCAAUUUUAGUCUUCAGGUUUUGGUCGCCAUGGGUUUGUCGAAGAAGAUGAAAUUCAAGGGGGGUGAGGGGUCGUGUGUAACUACUAGGGCGUGUACAAAGAAAAUCGAUAAAUCGCACCAAUUCGAUCCGAGUCAAACCGAGAAAAAAAAUUCGACUAUGGUUUGGUUUGACUUGGUUUGGUGUUGGAAAAAAAACCCGAACCAUAAUUGGUUUGGUUUGAUUUUAACUAAAGAAAAUCAAACUGAAACCAAACCAACCUGACAUUAC